rnacentral:rRNA from 1 species
UGGGAUGACGUCAAAUCAUCAUGCCCUUAUGUUCUGGGCUACACACGUGCUACAAUGGCGGUACAGACGGACGCAAAGCCGCGAGGUGGAGCAAAUCCUAAAAAGCCGGUACUCCAGUUCGGAUUGCAGGCUGCAAUUCGCCUGCAUGAAGUCGGAAUCGCUAGUAAUACGCAGGUCAGCAUACUGCGGUGAAUACGUUCCCGGGCCUU